CAAUAGCGUAUAUUAAAGUUGUUGCAGUUAAAAAGCUCGUAGUUGGAUUUGUGGUGUACUUCGGCGGCCCGUCACUAUGUGAUGGAGCUUGCUGAAGUCGCCAUCCUUGGGUGGAUCCUGUGUGGCAUUUAGUUGUCGUGCAGGGGAUGCCCAUCGUUUACUGUGAAAAAAUUAGAGUGUUCAAAGCAGGCUUAUGCCGUUGAAUAUAUUAGCAUGGAAUAAUAAGAUAGGACCUUGGUACUAUUUUGUUGGUUUGCGCACCAAGGUAAUGAUUAAUAGGGACAGUUGGGGGUAUUCGUAUUUCAUUGUCAGAGGUGAAAUUCUUGGAUUUUUGAAAGACGAACUACUGCGAAAGCAUUUACCAAGGAUGUUUUCAUUAA
rnacentral:rRNA from 1 species